rnacentral:rRNA from 1 species
CCACGGGACGCAGCAGUAGGGAAUCUUCCACAAUGGACGAAAGUCUGAUGGAGCAACGCCGCGUGAGUGAAGAAGGGUUUCGGCUCGUAAAGCUCUGUUGGUAGUGAAGAAAGGUAGAGGUAGUAACUGGCCUUUAUUUGACGGUAAUUACUUAGAAAGUCACGGCUAACUACGUGCCAGCAGCCGCGGUAAUACGUAGGUGGCAAGCGUUGUCCGGAUUUAUUGGGCGUAAAGCGAGUGCAGGCGGGUCAAUAAGUCUGAUGUGAAAGGCUUCGGCUCAAACGGAGGAU